ACUCAAAGGAAUAGACGGGGGCCCGCACAAGCGGUGGAGCAUGUGGUUUAAUUCGACGCAACGCGCAGAACCUUACCAGCCCUUGACAUGCCGUGCUAUCUCCAGAGAUGGGGAGUUCCAGCAAUGGACGCGGACACAGGUGCUGCAUGGCUGUCGUCAGCUCGUGUCGUGAGAUGUUGGGUUAAGUCCCGCAACGAGCGCAACCCUUGCCUUUAGUUGCCAUCAUUUAGUUGGGCACUCUAGAGGGACUGCCGGCGGUAAGCCGGAGGAAGGUGGGGAUGACGUCAAGUCCUCAUGGCCCUUACGGGCUGGGCUACACACGUGCUACAAUGGUGGCGACAGAGGGCGCAAGCGAGAGCGCAAGCUUUAGCAAAUCCUCAAAAGCCAUCUCAGUUCAGAUUGCGCUCUGCAACUCGGGCGCAUGAAGGUGGAAUCGCUAGUAAUCGCAGAACAGCAGGCUGCGGUGAAUACGUUCCCGGGCCUUGCACACACCGCCCGU
rnacentral:rRNA from 1 species